rnacentral:rRNA from 1 species
AGUGAACGCUGGCGGUAGGCCUAACACAUGCCAGUCGAACGGCAGCACAGUAAGAGCUUGCUCUUACGGGUGGCGAGUGGCGGACGGGUGAGGAAUACAUCGGAAUCUACUUUUUCGUGGGGGAUAACGUAGGGAAACUUACGCUAAUACCGCAUACGACCUACGGGUGAAAGCAGGGGAUCUUCGGACCUUGCGCGAUUGAAUGAGCCGAUGUCGGAUUAGCUAGUUGGCGGGGUAAAGGCCCACCAAGGCGACGAUCCGUAGCUGGUCUGAGAGGAUGAUCCGCCACACUGGAACUGAGACACGGUCCAGACUCCUACGGGAGGCAGCAGUGGGGAAUAGUGGACAAUGGGCGCAAGCCUGAUCCAGCCAUACCGCGUGGGUGAAGAAGGCCUUCGGGUUGUAAAGCCCUUUUGUUGUGAAAGAAAAGCAGCAGGUUAAUACCCCGAUGUUCUGACGGUACCCAAAGAAUAAGCACCGGCUAACUUCGUG